rnacentral:tRNA from 1 species
AUUAGCUCAGUUGGUUAGAGCAUAGUGCUAAUAACACCAGGGUCAUUGGUUUGAUCCCUAUAU